UACAUAGGGUGCAAGCGUUAAUCGGAAUUACUGGGCGUAAAGCGUGCGUAGACGGUUGCGUAAGUCAGAUGUGAAAGCCCCGGGCUCAACCUGGGAAUUGCAUUUGAGACUGCGUAGCUAGGGUGCGGAAGAGGGAAGCGGAAUUUCCGGUGUAGCGGUGAAAUGCGUAGAUAUCGGAAGGAACACCAGUGGCGAAAGCGGCUUCCUGGUCCAGCACCGACGUUCAGGCACGAAAGCGUGGGGAGCAAACAGG
rnacentral:rRNA from 1 species